rnacentral:rRNA from 1 species
AGAGUUUGAUCAUGGCUCAGGACGAACGCUGGCGGCGUGCUUAACACAUGCAAGUCACGGGGGCCCGCAAGGGUAACCGGCGAACGGGUGCGUAACACGUGAGCAAGCUUCCGAUUUGUGGGGGAUAGCCGGCCCAACGGCCGGGUAAUACCGCAUACGUUCAUCGAGCGGCAUCGCUUGGUGAGGAAACCUCCGGGGCAAAUCGAGGUGCUCGCGGCCUAUCAGCUAGUUGGUGAGGUAACGGCUCACCAAGGCGACGACGGGUAGCUGGUCUGAGAGGAUGGCCAGCCACAUUGGGACUGCGACACGGCCCAGACUCCUACGGGAGGCAGCAGUGGGGAAUAUUGCGCAAUGGACGAAAGUCUGACGCAGCGACGCCGCGUGUGGGAUGAAGCCUUUCGGGGCGUAAACCACUGUUGCCCGGGACGAACCUCCCCAUUCGUGGGGACUGACGGUACCGGGUGAGGAAGCACCGGCUAACUCUGUGCCAGCAGCCGCGGUAAUACAGAGGGUGCGAGCGUUGUCCGGAAUCACUGGGCGUAAAGGGCGCGUAGGUGGCUAGGUAAGCGUGUGGUGAAAGUCCGGGGCUCAACCCCGGAUCUGCCGUGCGAACUGCCAAGCUUGAGCGAUGUAGAGGCAGGUGGAAUUUCGGGUGUAGCGGUGGAAUGCGUAGAGAUCCGAAAGAACACCAGUGGCGAAGGCGGCCUGCUGGGCAUUUGCUGACACUGAGGCGCGACAGCGUGGGGAGCAAACAGGAUUAGAUACCCUGGUAGUCCACGCCGUAAACGAUGGGUACUAGGUGUCUGGGGGAGCGACCCCCUGGGUGCCGACGCUAACGCAUGAAGUACCCCGCCUGGGGAGUACGGCCGCAAGGCUGAAACUCAAAGGAAUUGACGGGGGCCCGCACAAGCGGUGGAGCAUGUGGUUUAAUUCGACGCAACGCGAAGAACCUUACCUAGGCUUGACAUGCUGGAGAAAGCUUGCGGAAACGUGAGCCCCUCUUCGGAGUUCCAGCACAGAUGCUGCAUGGCUGUCGUCAGCUCGUGUCGUGAGAUGUUGGGUUAAGUCCCGCAACGAGCGCAACCCUUGCCAUUAAUUGCCAUCAUUUAGUUGGGCACUUUAAUGGGACUGCCGGUGACAAACCGGAGGAAGGUGGGGAUGACGUCAAGUCCUCAUGGCCCUUAUGGCCAGGGCUUCACACGUAAUACAAUGGUCGGUACAGAGGGUUGCCAACCCGCGAGGGGGAGCCAAUCCCAGAAAGCCGAUCGUAGUCCGGAUUGUAGUCUGCAACUCGACUGCAUGAAGUCGGAAUCGCUAGUAAUCGCGGAUCAGCAUGUCGCGGUGAAUACGUUCCCGGGCCUUGUACACACCGCCCGUCACACCACGAAAGUCGGCAACACCCGAAGCCGGGGGCCCAACCGCAAGGAGGGACCCGUCGAAGGUGGGGUCGGUGAUUGGGGUGAAGUCAUAACAAGGUA